rnacentral:rRNA from 1 species
CCCUUAGACGUUCUGGGCCGCACGCGCGCUACACUGACCAGUGCAACAAGCAUCCGUCCUUGGCCGACAGGCCCGGGCAAUCUUUGAACGCUGGUCGUGAUGGGGAUAGACUUUUGCAAUUUUUGGUCUUCAACGAGGAAUUCCUAGUAAACGCAAGUCAUCAACUUGCAUUGAUUACGUCCCUGCCCUUUGUACACACCGCCCGUCGCACCUACCGAUUGAAUGGUCCGGUGAAUAAUUUGGACCGACGCAGUGCUCAGCUUCUGGACGUUGCGUUGGAAAGUUUCAUGAACCUUAUCACUUAGAGGAAGGAGAANUCGUANCA